AAAAGGCAAAAAUCAGCAAGUUUGAAAAAAGGUCAAAGAAGGGAAAUUUGUUUUAAAGCCGGAUGUGUGCUUUAGCUUAUCUGAAAUUUUUGGCCCUUUCCUAUCCAGUAUAAACUUGAAACUUUCUGGAAUUAUGCAUGUCUGGUCUUGGGGCCAUUGCCGACAAUAUUGAAAGAACGAUUACUUUAUCGGAUAGGACAAAGUCACUUGAUUCUUCAUUAAUUAAUGACAAUAAUGACAUUACCAAAUUGACAAAUGGUGAAGCUUGUCUUACUUCUGAAUCCACCAACUUUAGAGUUGGGGAGCUCUUGUUACCAAAUGGGGAAUCCUAUUCUGGGUCCCUGCUGGGCAACAUACCCGAAGGUUCUGGAAAGUAUAGGUGGUCUGAUGGUUGUCGGUAUGUGGGUGAGUGGAGACAUGGGAUAACACAUGGUCAUGGGAAACUAGAAUUUCCUUCAGGUGCUGUUUAUGAUGGUGAAUUUUCAGGUGGUUAUAUG
rnacentral:misc_RNA from 1 species